GCGAGUCCAGGCACUGGUCGUUCAAACACAAGCGCACAUGGGCACGCGCGCUCCCCUUCCAGGCCGGCUGCCACGCGGCCCUGACGCUUGCGGCCAGCACGCUCAUGCCCGUUCUGACAUGUGAGGGCUGUGUAAGGCCCGCACUCCUUAGGGAGUUUCCGACGCCCCUGGUCGCCUUUCCAGGAGAUGCAGGCUAGGAGUUUUCCAAUUAGGGAACGGAACCCUGAGCGGUGCGGUGGCAGCAGGGGGUCAUUAGGCACGGAGCCCAGGCAGUACUGGCGAGGAGGAGGAAUGGACUGGGGGCGGCCCGGAUGGGUGGGCCGCAGGCACUGCAGCGAAACACAGCAAGCCAGCAAGCUUUUUGUGGAUGGCUCUGUGACAUCCGCAUAGUGCUGAUCCCGGCCUUGGCCUCGGCCUGUGGCCCUGGGCAGCAAUGGCUUCCUCGCUCCCCUGCCGGGAGAGUGACGAGCACCCAGGCCAUGGCAGGAACCCUCCACCACACGCCCUUUGAGCCGGGAUGGGUGGACAGAAGAUGCUAAAGAGACCUGCUCACUCACUCUGCAUUCGGUGCCGUCCCCACUCUGACCACACCUUGCCUCUUUCAACAGUCACCUUUGUUUCCCCUCCAGAUCCACCAUCCAGCCUUUUCUACCCUGAUCACCACCCAGGGGACUGAUCCAUGUGUCCCACACCAAUGGCCACCAUGCUGACUGUCUUCCGCUUCCCUUAUUGGCAAGUCAACAGGGAAGACCAAAGGAGGUGCCAGUUAGGUGUGUUGAGGUGUAGGUAGCUUCUCAUUUGACAAAUCAGAGGCUGAAACAUCAGGACUCUCAUCUGGAUAGGAUGAAGCAGCCCUGGGAGAUGCUGGGUUGGGGGGCUGCAACCUGCAGCGGGGUGAAGCCUCACAUUGCCUCACUCUGUGUGUGAACUGAGCACACUGGAUGUAUGCAGGUGUUGUUGAAAGUACACACGGAAUACAAGAGCAGGUGCUGCAGUCAAAGAGGCGGACAUCAGCAUUGCCUCCCAGGGUCCAUGAUGAAAACCCCCAGUUUCCAUGUAGGACCUCCCGUGGGGCUGGGAAGCUGACUCAAACUCCGACUCCAGGUGGGAGCCUGUGUGUGACACAAGGCAGGUUAGUGAUGGUUCAGGACCCAAGUCACAAUGACUAGUUCUCAAGGAGCGUGUGAUCCAAGUGAAACCACUAAAAGUGACUCUUGGGGACAAAGCACUCAGGAAGAGGUAAUUACAGAGGCCAACUGCGUACCACGGACUGUUCUAGACAAUUGUAAUGAACAGCAGAGACAUGGUCCUCGCCCUCCAAAAACCCACAUUCUUCAAGAAAACACAGUAUGCAGAUGUGAGGCCAGGAAGGAAGUCAGCGGAAGAGGACAAGGCCGGCACACCAGGAGCUCAGGACACCAAGAGCCAAUGAAAAAUGGAGCCUGGGGCCUGUUCAAGCUGUUCCUGUAGUCCACCUUACUCCCCAACUUUCCAAAUACAUGAACCGACACACGUCCUCUAUCAUUUUACCUAGUUGGAGUUGCGUUUUCCAUUAUUUGUAUUUAAAAGAUACACUGUGUGUGAAUCUCUGGAGCUUAAUCCACUUCUUUGGAUCCCAUCAUGGCAUCUAACCCCCCGGCAAGAGCACACACCGUGAUUGGUAACAUGUGUUGAAUGAAUGAACAAAUGUAGACAACCAUCAAACAUGUGAGCAGAUGUGGCUGCUGAGGACGGAUUCCGGCACAGAGCUAGAGAGGCCACGAUGCUACGACUGUGCAUGAGUUGUGAGGCUAGCCAUGUAGGGUGACCAGGGAAUUAACAGUGCAUUCUCAAUAAGAACAGCAGAAUGUUUUAUAAAAGUGGUUGCUCCCAUCAGCUCUGACAUGCCUGGGACAGAUUCAAUUAACAGAAAAGAUCAGAGGUGGAAGGAGGAGAAGGAUUCUAGUCCAUGAAGUCCAAGUCCCUCACUUGACUGAUGGGGAACCUGAAGCCAAAAGACAAGGCUUCCACAUCCACUCAGAUGGGCAAGAGGGACAUGCUGUUCCCAUGCUGUUCCCACACCGGCUGGCGGGGGAGGGGGCAGAUUUUUGUUCCAUCCUUGAGUACAAUGCUUCUCAAAGUGUGGUCUCUGGACUUGCAGCUCAGAGUCACCUGGGAGCCCAUUAGAAAUGCAAAUUCUCUGGGCAUCUGGGUGGCUUGGUUAAGCAUCAAACUCUUUGUUUAGGCUGAGGUCAUGAUCUCCAGGU